UCAAUUGGAAUGUCCAUGAUGGGUCUCAGUGGUGGUUCGUCAACCAUUUUGGGUGGACGGAUUGGUUUCGUAACGCCCAUUGGAGAUUACAAGUCUAUGACCUUCCGAGGAAUCACAGUCCUCGCCCUUCUGGAACUGGGAACAAUUGGAACUGCAUACCCCUGGUCAUGUGACAUAGGAUUCGAACCUGGGUUAUCGCUAUCAUUAUAUGAUUCAUGUGGCAAAGUAUUCAAAUCUGGGUUGUCAUGAUCAUUUGUGAUUAAUCAGACAGCACAUCCAGCCAACUAACUCUUGGUUUACCAAUAUACUGCUUCAAGUGAUCAACAUGGCAGACUUUAAUGGCACCGUCCUGACUCAAUUGAAUUUUGGGCACCAGGUGGCGGACCAACCAUUACAUCAAUGGGCAGAUCUAUUUCUCGACCUAAUAUGACCUUGUUCGGAGUGCAACCAGUACUGCUAUUCUGUGUAGCACGAUAGGCAGCCGUAACAUAUGGGAGAUGAUCAUCCCAGUCUUCCUGAUUUUCAUUAACAAACAUCUUCAACAAUGAAAUCACCGUACGGUUACACCGUUCAAUCAUGCCAUCUGACUUCGGAUUAUAAGCACACGUUCGA